ACGAACGCUGGCGGCAUGCCUAACACAUGCACGUCGAACGAGACCUUCGGGUCUAGUGGCGCACGGGUGCGUAACACGUGGGAAUCUGCCCUUUGCUUCGGAAUAACAGUUAGAAAUGACUGCUAAUACCGGAUGAUGUCGAAAGACCAAAGAUUUAUCGGCAAAGGAUGAGCCCGCGUAGUAUUAGGUAGUUGGUGGGGUAAAGGCCUACCAAGCCGACGAUCCUUAGCUGGUCUGAGAGGAUGAUCAGCCACACUGGGACUGAGACACGGCCCAGACUCCUACGGGAGGCAGCAGUGGGGAAUAUUGGACAAUGGGCGAAAGCCUGAUCCAGCAAUGCCGCGUGAGUGAUGAAGGCCUUAGGGUUGUAAAGCUCUUUUACCAGGGAUGAUAAUGACAGUACCUGGAGAAUAAGCUCCGGCUAACUCCGUG
rnacentral:rRNA from 1 species